CAACCCUCAAGCACCGCUUGGUGUUGGGCAACGCGGUCAGCCGCGUGCCUCAAAUCGACCGGCUGGGUCUUCUGUCCCCUAAGCGUUGUGGAAACUAUUCGCUAAAGGGUGUUCGGGAGGCUACGCCGUAAAACAACCCCAUUUCUAA
rnacentral:misc_RNA from 1 species